rnacentral:misc_RNA from 1 species
GGAUGGAUCAUUAACAAUCGGGCACUCCUACUGCUUCGGCAGAAGGACCUGCCUUUUCGCAAAUUACCCCUGUGGUGUCAUGUCUUGUUGUGUGUUGCAUGCUUGGCGGAGGUGCUGGGACGCGCUCGCGCGUCUCCGGUGGCCGCCGGCUGCACGCGCGCUUUUCUUACAAACCAAUUCACCAUGACUUCUUCAAUGGCUGAAGUAACCUUGCGGUCGGCGGGUGCGUACGCGCUUUGCGCUGCGCACGUGUCGGCAUCAAGUAAAACACGAGUAAUCCAAUACAACUGCUAGCAACGGAUCACUCGGCUCUCGCGUCGAUGAAGAACGUAGCGAACUGCGAAAAUUAAUGCGACCCGCAACACGUGAGUCAUCGAGUCUUUGAACGCAUAUUGCACCCGACGGGCUCGCUCGUCGGGUCUGCCUGUCUGAGUAUCAGUACGGACCCAACCGGCAAACACACGACGCUGCUGCUUUGCGCGGCGGCGGCGUGUGUGCACGCUGUGUUGGCGCUCGACGGCGGCCGGCGCGCAUCCCGCGCCGCGUCGCUGUCGGACCUGGGCGUUCGGCAGCCAGCGCACGCGCUUCGCGUGCGCCGCCGGAGGCUUGAAAUGCAUCGGCCAGCCAGCUAUCGAUGCCGGCGCGUUAGCAUUGCUAAUCAUCCUCGGAUGUUCCUUGCUAGUACACGCGACGGCAGCCAGCAGCGGCGGCCAAAGGCGCAAAAAAGAUGAGGAAUACCGCCGCCAUCCUUACGGGGAGGCGUGCGGUACCCACACACCAAUCUUGAUCUCAGAUCAGGCAGGAUGACCCGCUGAACUUAAGCAUAUUAGUAAGCGGAGGAAAAGAAACUAAUCAGGAUUCCCUCAGUAACGGCGAGUGAAGCGGGAAUGGCCCAAUUUGAAAAGCUGGUCGGCCCCGGAGCCGGUCCCGCAUUGUAAAUUGAUGGGGCGUUGCCUAGCGUCGUGCUUUCCGGUCAAAGUUCCUUGGAACAGGACGUCAAAGAGGGUGAUAACCCCGUUGAUGGCCGGACGACAUACCCGCACGGCGCGACUACGGUGCGUCUCCUUAGAGUCGGAAUGUUUGGGAUUGCAUUCCAAAGUGGGUGGUAAACUCCAUCUAAGGCUAAAUACUGGCGAGAGACCGAUAGCGAACAAGUACCGUGAGGGAAAGUUGAAAAGCACUCUGGAGAGAGAGUCAAACAGUACGUGAAAUUGCUAGCAGGGAAACGUUGGGCGCCAGUACGCGGCAAUCAACGCCGGUGAUCAGUCGGGCGCGCAGGCGGACUGCGGUGUGGUGCACCCUUGUCUUUGGGGACCGUCCUUGCGGCGGCCCACGCAUCGCAGCUCCUCCCGUGCACCGGUGCACUCUCCGGCGGCCGGGUCAACAUCGGUUAGCGGCGUCCGAGAAGCCGCGCGGCAAGGUACCUUUGGCUCGCCGCCUCGGCGGUGUGGCCAUCGGACUUACAGGCCGUGCAGGCGAGGAUGCGGCUGACCGAGGAGGCAUAGCGGCUCGCGCGCUUCGGCGCAGGGCGCAGCGGCGGGGUCGAGGCUGCCCGUGGCGUCAGGCUACCCGUAGACUGGCGCUUACUUUGCCGUGCUUCGGCGCGGCAGUGGCGGUCGCUCCGUGGCUGCAAGCCACUAGCGAGCCCAUGACGGUUGACGAAAUGGCAUUCAACGACCCGUCUUGAAACACGGACCAAGGAGUCUAACAUGUCUGCGAGUGUUUGGGUGGCAAACCCGAACGCGGAAUGAAAGUGAAGAGGCGGGCCUCGCGCUCGCCCGCUGGCAGGACUCGGUGCGCCUCGGCGCAGCGAUGCACUGCCGACCGACCUGUUGCCCUCUGUGGCGGUAGGUUUGAGUUGGAGCAGAUCUGUUAGGACCCGAAAGAUGGUGAACUAUGCCUGAGCAGGAUGAAGCCAGAGGAAACUCUGGUGGAGGUCCGUAGCGGUUCUGACGUGCAAAUCGAUCGUCGGACUUGGGUAUAGGGGCGAAAGACUAAUCGAACCAUCUAGUAGCUGGUUCCUGC